rnacentral:rRNA from 1 species
GAGCCCGUGAAUCCGGGCGGUUAGAAUUCAGAAUCGACGGCAGCGUUUCGCGCGUCGUCGUCGUUUUGCAAUUUCUGCCGCCGCCUAAAGAACACGGACGUUGCGACCCGUUCGACGUUGGUCUAAAGAACUGCGCGCUCAAGUUCGCCGCGUGUGCCCGAGUAUGUUUGCGCGUGCCCGGUGUACACGCGGUGAGGGCGCGGCCUUCUGGCCAGCUAUUUGUCGGACGGUAGGUAAAGAGCGCGGUAAUCGGCGUCCGCUUUGCGCGGCCGUCGACACCGGUCAGCGACGAAUCUUCGGGCCUCUUUCCGACCCGUCUUGAAACACGGACCAAGGAGUCUAACGUGUGCGCGAGUCGCGGGGUAUCGAGUCGUCGUCGUUCCGGCGGCGGCGGCUCGUUACGAUACGAAACCCGUUAGUACUUUGUGCAAGGCGUAAUGAAAGUGAAUGUGUAGCGGCGGCGGCGGCAACUUGUUGUCGCUCGCGCGCGCGCGCACGGGGAAGAUGGUGUUCCGAGUACACGUUCCUCGGUCCUACGUCGACCGAGGCCGGACACCCGCACUCCCGGGGCGUCCCAACGGCCCGUCGAGGUCGCUUCGGCA